rnacentral:pre_miRNA from 1 species
UCAUGAACUACCUAGGGACCUUGUUAAAAUGUAGGCUCUGAUUCAGGAGCCUUGAGUUAGAGUCUGGUUAGGGGCUGAGAGCCUACAUUUUUAAUAAGCUUCUAGGUGUUGUUAAU